rnacentral:misc_RNA from 1 species
CUGAGUUUACAAACUCCCAUAAACCAUCGCUGAAAUCUUACCCUAUACGUUGCCUCGGCGCUGGCGGUCCGAGGCCCGCGGCCCCCGUAAAUCCUCGGGUACGGCCCGCCCCGGAGGCUGCCCCCGGAGUGCCGAACUAAACUCUUGAUAUCUUAGUGGAACUCUCUGAGUAAACACUUAAAAAAUAAAGUCA